AGGACAGUCAAAUAAUAAAUGAAAGAUGUCACAGACGCUUUCGGUUAAGUGUAGUGUACAAAAGGGAGAAUUAUUUAACCCAAGUUUAUAUGCAUGAUCAGGAAGAAGCGAAUGGCCCACACAAAGGCGGUUAAAACGGACUAUGGUAGACCUAGGUAGAUCUAAAUGAAAAAACCAAGUUUUUUUUAUUAGAGAUGGAGGGGGCAAUAGAUUUAUAUUUGGAAGCAAAG